UGGAUUUGGGUGAGUGUUUUCGGUGAGUGGAUGGGUGGACUUUGGGUUACUUUGCGGGACCGGGAAAGAAUAACCUCAUCUUUUCAUUGAGUCGCCAGGGGAGAGGGACUUGGUUACCUCUGGUGAUGGAUUCCUGUGAUGGGUAUAUGUUUUACAUGCUACGAGUUUCUCCAGGAUCACUGUCAAUACGAAGUAGAUGCUCACUCCUUGCAUUAUCAGCGAUCCUGGAGCCUCUGCAUCAUUCUCAUCAUGUGGAUAUUAUGCUGUGGUAUUUGUUGUUCUUAACUUCUUAUUGCGCCGCUGCAAGGGGCGGAUUG
rnacentral:lncRNA from 1 species